rnacentral:rRNA from 1 species
GGGUUGUGAGGUUAAGCGACUAAGCGUACACGGUGGAUGCCCUGGCAGUCAGAGGCGAUGAAGGACGUGCUAAUCUGCGAUAAGCGUCGGUAAGGUGAUAUGAACCGUUAUAACCGGCGAUUUCCGAAUGGGGAAACCCAGUGUGAUUCGUCACACUAUCAUUAACUGAAUCCAUAGGUUAAUGAGGCGAACCGGGGGAACUGAAACAUCUAAGUACCCCGAGGAAAAGAAAUCAACCGAGAUUCCCCCAGUAGCGGCGAGCGAACGGGGAGCAGCCCAGAGCCUGAAUCAGUGUGUGUGUUAGUGGAAGCGUCUGGAAAGGCGCGCGAUACAGGGUGACAGCCCCGUACACAAAAAUGCACAUGCUGUGAGCUCGAUGAGUAGGGCGGGACACGUGGUAUCCUGUCUGAAUAUGGGGGGACCAUCCUCCAAGGCUAAAUACUCCUGACUGACCGAUAGUGAACCAGUACCGUGAGGGAAAGGCGAAAAGAACCCCGGCGAGGGGAGUGAAAAAGAACCUGAAACCGUGUACGUACAAGCAGUGGGAGCACGCUUAGGCGUGUGACUGCGUACCUUUUGUAUAAUGGGUCAGCGACUUAUAUUCUGUAGCAAGGUUAACCGAAUAGGGGAGCCGAAGGGAAACCGAGUCUUAACUGGGCGUUAAGUUGCAGGGUAUAGACCCGAAACCCGGUGAUCUAGCCAUGGGCAGGUUGAAGGUUGGGUAACACUAACUGGAGGACCGAACCGACUAAUGUUGAAAAAUUAGCGGAUGACUUGUGGCUGGGGGUGAAAGGCCAAUCAAACCGGGAGAUAGCUGGUUCUCCCCGAAAGCUAUUUAGGUAGCGCCUCGUGAAUUCAUCUCCGGGGGUAGAGCACUGUUUCGGCAAGGGGGUCAUCCCGACUUACCAACCCGAUGCAAACUGCGAAUACCGGAGAAUGUUAUCACGGGAGACACACGGCGGGUGCUAACGUCCGUCGUGAAGAGGGAAACAACCCAGACCGCCAGCUAAGGUCCCAAAGUCAUGGUUAAGUGGGAAACGAUGUGGGAAGGCCCAGACAGCCAGGAUGUUGGCUUAGAAGCAGCCAUCAUUUAAAGAAAGCGUAAUAGCUCACUGGUCGAGUCGGCCUGCGCGGAAGAUGUAACGGGGCUAAACCAUGCACCGAAGCUGCGGCAGCGACGCUGAUGCGUUGUUGGGUAGGGGAGCGUUCUGUAAGCCUGUGAAGGUGUACUGUGAGGUAUGCUGGAGGUAUCAGAAGUGCGAAUGCUGACAUAAGUAACGAUAAAGCGGGUGAAAAGCCCGCUCGCCGGAAGACCAAGGGUUCCUGUCCAACGUUAAUCGGGGCAGGGUGAGUCGACCCCUAAGGCGAGGCCGAAAGGCGUAGUCGAUGGGAAACAGGUUAAUAUUCCUGUACUUGGUGUUACUGCGAAGGGGGGACGGAGAAGGCUAUGUUGGCCGGGCGACGGUUGUCCCGGUUUAAGCGUGUAGGCUGGUUUUCCAGGCAAAUCCGGAAAAUCAAGGCUGAGGCGUGAUGACGAGGCACUACGGUGCUGAAGCAACAAAUGCCCUGCUUCCAGGAAAAGCCUCUAAGCAUCAGGUAACAUCAAAUCGUACCCCAAACCGACACAGGUGGUCAGGUAGAGAAUACCAAGGCGCUUGAGAGAACUCGGGUGAAGGAACUAGGCAAAAUGGUGCCGUAACUUCGGGAGAAGGCACGCUGAUAUGUAGGUGAAGUCCCUCGCGGAUGGAGCUGAAAUCAGUCGAAGAUACCAGCUGGCUGCAACUGUUUAUUAAAAACACAGCACUGUGCAAACACGAAAGUGGACGUAUACGGUGUGACGCCUGCCCGGUGCCGGAAGGUUAAUUGAUGGGGUCAGCGCAAGCGAAGCUCUUGAUCGAAGCCCCGGUAAACGGCGGCCGUAACUAUAACGGUCCUAAGGUAGCGAAAUUCCUUGUCGGGUAAGUUCCGACCUGCACGAAUGGCGUAAUGAUGGCCAGGCUGUCUCCACCCGAGACUCAGUGAAAUUGAACUCGCUGUGAAGAUGCAGUGUACCCGCGGCAAGACGGAAAGACCCCGUGAACCUUUACUAUAGCUUGACACUGAACAUUGAGCCUUGAUGUGUAGGAUAGGUGGGAGGCUUUGAAGUGUGGACGCCAGUCUGCAUGGAGCCGACCUUGAAAUACCACCCUUUAAUGUUUGAUGUUCUAACGUGGACCCGUGAUCCGGGUUGCGGACAGUGUCUGGUGGGUAGUUUGACUGGGGCGGUCUCCUCCUAAAGAGUAACGGAGGAGCACGAAGGUUGGCUAAUCCUGGUCGGACAUCAGGAGGUUAGUGCAAUGGCAUAAGCCAGCUUGACUGCGAGCGUGACGGCGCGAGCAGGUGCGAAAGCAGGUCAUAGUGAUCCGGUGGUUCUGAAUGGAAGGGCCAUCGCUCAACGGAUAAAAGGUACUCCGGGGAUAACAGGCUGAUACCGCCCAAGAGUUCAUAUCGACGGCGGUGUUUGGCACCUCGAUGUCGGCUCAUCACAUCCUGGGGCUGAAGUAGGUCCCAAGGGUAUGGCUGUUCGCCAUUUAAAGUGGUACGCGAGCUGGGUUUAGAACGUCGUGAGACAGUUCGGUCCCUAUCUGCCGUGGGCGCUGGAGAACUGAGGGGGGCUGCUCCUAGUACGAGAGGACCGGAGUGGACGCAUCACUGGUGUUCGGGUUGUCAUGCCAAUGGCACUGCCCGGUAGCUAAAUGCGGAAGAGAUAAGUGCUGAAAGCAUCUAAGCACGAAACUUGCCCCGAGAUGAGUUCUCCCUGACUCCUUGAGAGUCCUGAAGGAACGUUGAAGACGACGACGUUGAUAGGCCGGGUGUGUAAGCGCAGCGAUGCGUUGAGCUAACCGGUACUAAUGAACCGUGAGGCUUAACCUUACAACGCCGAAGCUGUU